UGCUCCAGCUGAGUUGAUAGUUCUGCUCCAGAUCAGUUGAUAGUUCUGCUCCAGAUCAGUUGAUAGUUCUGCUCCAGAUCAGUUGAUAGUUCUGCUCCAGAUCAGCUGAUAGUUCUACUCCAGAUCAGCUGAUAGUUCUACUCCAGAUCAGCUGAUAGUUCUGCUCCAGCUGAUAGUUCUACUCCAGAUCAGCUGAUAGUUCUACUCCAGAUCAGCUGAUAGUUCUGCUCCAGCUGAUAGUUCUACUCCAGAUCAGCUGAUAGUUCUACUCCAG
rnacentral:lncRNA from 1 species